rnacentral:rRNA from 1 species
AACGAACGCUGGCGGCAGGCCUAACACAUGCAAGUCGAACGCCCCGCAAGGGGAGUGGCAGACGGGUGAGUAACGCGUGGGAACGUACCCUUCGGUUCGGAAUAACCCGGGGAAACUCGGGCUAAUACCGGAUACGUCCGCAAGGAGAAAGAUUUAUCGCCGAAGGAUCGGCCCGCGUCGGAUUAGCUAGUUGGUGGGGUAAUGGCCCACCAAGGCGACGAUCCGUAGCUGGUCUGAGAGGAUGAUCAGCCACACUGGGACUGAGACACGGCCCAGACUCCUACGGAGCAGCAGUGGGAAUCUUGCGCAAUGGGCGAAAGCCUGACGCAGCGACGCCGCGUGA